rnacentral:rRNA from 1 species
AACGUAGGUUCCGAGCGUUAUCCGGAUUUACUGCGCGUAAAGCGCGUUCAGGCGGUUUGGCAAGUCGGGCAUGAAAUCUCUCGGCUCAACCGGGAGAGGUUGUCCGAUACUUCCAGACUUGAGGGCAGUAGAGGGUGGUGGAAUUCCGGGUGUAGUGGUGAAAUGCGUAGAUAUCCGGAGGAACACCAGUGGCGAAAGCGGCCACCUGGACUGCACCUGACGCUGACACGCGAAAGCUAGGGGAGCGAACGGG